CUUGUUUAUCACUGUCUCAACUGCAUGUUCUCUUCCACUGUGAACCUCAACUGCAUUGAACCUGCAGAACAGGUCAGACCCUGAGAGAGAGAGAGAGAGAGAGAGAGAGAGAGAGAGUGUGUGUGUGGGCAGACGUGUGUUUGUGAGUAUGAGCAGGGGCGUCAGUGGGCGGGUUGUAUGUGUACAGUAGCGAGGUGAAUCAAUUCACCGAUCUGCUUGUACACUUAUCUCCAUAGCUGCGGUCUCCAUGGUGACUCAGCCAUGAUUUCACUCCACCAGCAGGAGUGACACACUUACACGACACCGCUAGCAUGCACAAACCCUGCAUUCAAAGCCCUCUUCUCUGCACCCACACGGGUACAGGAUGCUGCAAAACCACCAGCCCCCUCCUCUCCCCCUUCUCUCACUUUCACUCACUUAUUGCCCUCCGUUUCUGAUAAACAAGAACACUGUGACGGCCAGUUUGACAUCUGGAUUUUUAUUUGUAUAUAAAAAUUAUAAUUAAACUUAUUUGGAAUGCUACUUGUGCACAAUGCACAUUUCUUAAUAUUAAGCCUAAAAUGUGUUUUAAUAUCACUGUUGAUGAGGAUUGCAUGAUCUUUUUAUAAUAUUGGCCUUUAAAUGCAAAAUAUUUAAAAUUUAUACUUGCAAUAGUUACACUUCAGCACAAUCAAAUAUACUUCAGUAUGUCUUUAGUUGGACUUCAGCAUGACUUCCAGACAAUUAAAGUGCAUUAAACACAAAAUUAGUUGUUCCAAUAUAGCAGAGUUUAAUUAUACCAGUUUAGUAUACUAAAAGUACAACUGCAGGGUAUUAUUAAGUACAUAAAUAUGUAAAUGUAAUUGUAGUAUACUUACUGAAAUAAAUGUGCUUCAAAUACAUUUUAGUACAUUUAUUUUUCACUAGGGUUUGACUCGGACAAAAUGUUAUUUAGAUUAUUAAAAUGUUUUUCACACUAAGAAAAAAAUGGUUCUUUUAAGAACUUUUCACUGAAAGGUUCUUUGAGGAUCCCAAAAUGGUUCUUUUGUGGAAUUAUUGCAAAAAAAAAAAAAAAUACUUACCUUAGUAAUCUUUAUUUUUAAAGGUUCCUCAUGGAACCAUCAAUGCCAGUUAAUAUCCUUAAUUUUUCAGAGUGUAUUGUAUGAGUUGCUUAUUCCUACCCUUCCUCAUAGACUGCCAUUGUAAAUGCAUUACUGUAAACAUGUUUUUUUGUUUUUAACAAACUUAUGAAAUAAUUUUCUGGGGUAAUGCUAGCUUAAUGUUUUAAUUCUUGUUCAAAUCAAACCUCAAGGUCAUUGACGAGGUCUUGUGGAAAGUUCACACCUCAAAGCUCCUUCUUGCUCAGAUAUUUAUUGCCGUCAGUCUGCUAGAUCAGCUGGUGAGGGAGCAUUAUCUGUCCUUCCUCCCUCGUUUGCAGCUCUGAGAACAGCCAGUGCCUCUUUCCUGCAGGAUGAGGAGAUCAUAAUGAAGUGCAGAGAGGUUGUGUGCUAGCCUUGGCUGUGCCUCCGCUCUCUGUUCUUUCUCUCGCCUCUGUGGGCUCUGUGUG
ensembl:lncRNA